AUCAAUAUCGAUUCCAUCUCACCAAGAUAUUCGAGAAGAGCAGUAUAGUUCACAACCGCUGUUUAUACAGAAACAACAUUUCGAGGCUUCAAAGUCAAUUCUAUACUCCAAUAGAGAAACGAACAUCUCAAAAUGGCAUCCAAAAUCAUCAUCAUUGCUCUGUUCGUGGUCGUCGCUGUCGUCGCCACAUCAGCAUUCGAUUUCAAUGACUUCGAGAAGAGGCAAGCUGAAAUGGAAUUGGAUGAUGCCGUGGAUCUCGUCAGUCAACACAUGACUGAUAAACGAGGAAGGAGGUUUUCAGUAUGCACCCAUCCACAUGGGUUCACAUGCUGGUGUGACAAGAAAUUUGAAGGUUCGGACAAAUACUACCGCGUCUGUGAUUUCGCCGCGGGAGGACCAAUCAAUGGACGAUAGAGUCGAGACAAGCGAUUUGAAAAAGGGGAAUGUCUUCAAGUUUAAAGCUAAACUGAAUUUAUCCGCCCAUUACCGAUAUUAAUUCAUGCAUGACUCCAUAAAUAAUUCUUUGUAGCUCGUGAUUGUUUUGACGGUUAAUUUAGAGUAAAACCUGGCUAAUAAUCAUUUAUAAUUUUGAAUAGUUUUACAAAAGUUUUUUUUUCUGUGUUGCAGUAAUUGUAGGUUAUUAUCCGAGUCGUAGUAAUAUUUUUAAUCAGCAUGGUUUUUAUGUUUGUUAUGUCAAAGAUUGUCAUGGUUUUAUCGUAUUGCCUUUUGGAGUUGCCUUUUUUAAAAGUUUAAGAUAACUUGAUCAAUUCAAUUAUGUGCCUGAUAAUUUAUCCACUUACUUUAUUUGUUUGCAUUACCCGAGUAUAAAUUCCAUUAAGAAUUAUCGUGAAAUACUUUUCUCAAAUGAUGAUGAUGAUGAUUACUGUGAUAUCGUAAAUUAUCUUGAAAUGUGGACACCUGUUAAAUAAAGUUUACCUUAAGCAUUUAAGUUGUUCC